GAAUGGUACCGUGACACUCAAAGCAAUGCUGGCACCAAAACAGUAACAGCACAAACUGCUGGCCAAGCGCCUAAUGUGCCGCUGAGCUGAAUUCUCACUGCAGCUCCAACAGCACAGAGCAGCUGUGGCCAAACACAGAGAUGGGCAGUUAUCAAACGUGGUGAAAGGAUGAGAACUGAGGGAGUCUGGGCUGUAAAAAACAAAACCCACGUGUACAUAAACUCCGACAAGAAGAGAAGUUGCUACUGCAGUCGGUGAAAUACCCAGAACGUCCCCCACAAAUGCUGAUGAACUGUUAUCUUCAGAUACAUGCUUGUAUGCAAUUUCCUAAUCCAUGGAUUUUUAUUGUAAAAAAAAAAAAAAAAAAAAAAAAAAAAAAGACUAGUCUGGGCUGAAACUAAUUGAGAAUAGAAUCCACUAUAACGUCAGAAGAAAAGAAAUUUUCGUGGUUACAUGUAAACUUGUGAUAAGCUUUUCCAAGAAGAGGGUACAUUUACGGCAAGAGGGAUGGGAUACAACAAGGAGCGGUGACAGCCUGCUUAUGUAAAGGUCAGGCCAGCCUCGUUGUAUACUUUGAAGACUUUCUCAAUCGCAUUGACAUAGGCAGCUGUUCUCAGGUCCAGACCCAGGUUGUACUUCAUGGCAGUACGCAUGAUUUGCUG
rnacentral:lncRNA from 1 species